rnacentral:rRNA from 1 species
CUUGCUAAGGCCGAUGGCGACCGGCGCACGGGUGAGUAACACGUAUCCAACCUGCCGUCUACUCUUGGACAGCCUUCUGAAAGGAAGAUUAAUACAAGAUGGCAUCAUGAGUCCGCAUGUUCACAUGAUUAAAGGUAUUCCGGUAGACGAUGGGGAUGCGUUCCAUUAGAUAGUAGGCGGGGUAACGGCCCACCAAGCCGACGAUCAGUAGCCGACCUGAGAGGAUGAACGGCCACACUGGAACUGAGACACGGUCCAGACUCC